rnacentral:misc_RNA from 1 species
CAGCUGCGAGAUUUGGUGUGAAUUGCAGGACACAUUGAGCACUGAUUUUUCGAACGCACAUUGCGGCCUCGGAUCCUGCCCGGGGCCUCGCCUGUCUGAGGGUCGGAUAAGACUUGCAAAGGAAAAUUUAUUUUUUCCAAUUGGCCGUGUCGGAGUUCUGUUAAGGAUUUCGUCGGCUCAAGUACUUAUAGGAUCCUCCCCGGUCGAGAGAGCACAAGCCCUAGAGCAUGCUCGUCGCUCGGAGAAGACGGAUAACGUUUCUCCACGAAGACGAGACGGUUUGUUGUUGAGAAGACCACUUAUAGGGGAUGAGAACCUACUUGGACAUUUUUAGUCCGAUUUGAAUUAUUUUUGACGACCUCAGAUCAGACGAGAUGACCCGCUGAAUUUAA